rnacentral:rRNA from 1 species
GCAUGCGGAUUAAUUCGAUGCAACGCGAAGAACCUUACCAAGGCUUGACAUAUACCGGAACCCUCAGAGAUGGGGCCCCGGCAAGGUCGGUAUACAGGUGGUGCAUGGUUGUCGUCAGCUCGUGUCGUGAGAUGUUGGGUUAAGUCCCGCAACGAGCGCAACCCUCGUUCUAUGUUGCCAGCACGUGAUGGUGGGGACUCAUAGGAGACUGCCGGGGUCAACUCGGAGGAAGGUGGGGAUGACGUCAAAUCAUCAUGCCCCUUACGUCUUGGGCUUCACGCAUGCUACAAUGGCCGGUACAGAGGGCUGCGAAACCGUGAGGUGGAGCGAAUCCCUUAAAGCUGGUCUCAGUUCGGAUUGGGGUCUGCAACUCGACCCCAUGAAGUCGGAGUCGCUAGUAAUCGCAGAUCAGCAACGCUGCGGUGAAUACGUUCCCGGGCCUU